AACACCCGGUUCCAUUCCGAACCCGGCAGUUAAGCCCCCCAGCGCCGAUGAUACUGUGCCGGUUGCGGCACGGGAAAGUAGGUCGGUGCCAGGG
rnacentral:rRNA from 1 species